rnacentral:misc_RNA from 1 species
CCGUCAAUUCCUUUAAGUUUCACACUUGCGUGCGUACUCCCCAGGCGGACAACUUAACGCGUUGGCUACGGCACUGCCCGGGUCGAUACGGGCAACACCUAGUUGUCAUCGUUUACGGCUAGGACUACAGGGGUAUCUAAUCCCUUUCGCUCCCCUAGCUUUCGUCCAUGAGUGUCAGCUCAGGCCCAGUCACGCGCUUUCGCCGCUGGUGUUCUUCCCAAUAUCUACGCAUUUCACCGCUACACUGGGAAUUCCCGUGACCCCUACCUAGCUCUAGUCUUGAAGUUUUCACCGCCGGUACGAAGUUGAGCCUCGCGCUUUGACAGCAAACUUUCAAAACCACCUGCGGACGCUUUACGCCCAAUAAUUCCGGAUAACGCUUGCGUCCUCUGUAUUACCG